rnacentral:rRNA from 1 species
UGCACUAUCAGAUGAGCCUAGGUCGGAUUAGCUAGUUGGUGAGGUAAUGGCUCACCAAGGCUACGAUCCGUAACUGGUCUGAGAGGAUGAUCAGUCACACUGGAACUGAGACACGGUCCAGACUCCUACGGGAGGCAGCAGUGGGGAAUAUUGGACAAUGGGCGAAAGCCUGAUCCAGCCAUGCCGCGUGUGUGAAGAAGGUCUUCGGAUUGUAAAGCAAUUGAGUGGGAGGAAGGGCAUUAACCUAAUACGUUA